ensembl:lncRNA
UGAACUUAUCCUCUGCAGCAGAGGUAACUCUGGGUCUUCCUUUCCUGUGGCGGUCCUCAUGAGAGACAGGUAACUCUAAUGAACUUAUCCUCUGCAGCAGAGGUAACUCUGGGUCUUCCUUUCCUGUGGCGGUCCUCAUGAGAGACAGUUAACUCUAAUGAACUUAUCCUCUGCAGCAGAGGUGACUCUGGGUCUUCCUUUCCUGUGGAGGUCCUCAUGAGAGACAGUUAACUCUAAUGAACUUAUCCUCUGCAGCAGAGGUGACUCUGGGUCUUCCUUUCCUGUGGCGGUCCUCAUGAGAGACAGUUAACUCUAAUGAACUUAUCCUCUGCAGCAGAGGUGACUCUGGGUCUUCCUUUCCUGUGGC